UACCGGGGAUCGAAUUCGGGACCUUGCGCUUGCGAGGCAGGCGGCGGAACCACGGAGCUGAACCCCGGGCACCCCAUGACUUCGUCUUAACCAGCAGAACACGACGUGACACUCCCUUUAUUACGUUACUUCAUAUGGAAAAGGUUAAGUGUGUUCUGUAAGUGUCAUCAUUAUACUGAAUCUACUCAUUUCAAAUUAACACAAAGACAGAUCACCCUGCUGGAUCUUAGAGCACUUCAAAGAAUGGCUGGAACUUUCCUCACGACGACUAUUCUCCCUUGCUCUGAAGAAGCCCUCCACCAUUAGCUCUGCAGCUGCAAAUAAUACUGAACUCAGACUCUAGCCUGAGGUUGACUAGAUCCCUGGCCAAGUCUCCCGGGUGAUACCGAAGCUCAGCCGACAUUUACCUUGCAGCUGAUCAAGAGACCCAGCUGAGCCACGCCUGGCUCGCAGAAACUGCUGAACUACACACGCAUCUUGCUUUACACCAAGUGAGUUUGCGGUAAUUUGUUACAGUGCUGGGCAUUGAACCUAGGUUCUUGUGCAUGCCGGGGAAGCAUAUCACUGAGCUACAUGCCCAGCACCAAAAUUCUUUGGAAAUAGAGGGAAACAAGAUUGCAGGGAAAACCAAACAUCGGUAGAUUCAAGAGCAUCCAGAAAGACACAGCCCCCCAGAUAUGCUCACCUCAAACAGAAGCCGUGGGGAGGCACACACCAGUGACAUACACAAGCAGUAUUUUCAAAAUCAUGUGAAGGGCAAAGGGCAACUCACAUGGUUCCCAGUGGGUGGGUCUGAGGGGCCCUCACCGUGCCCUAGGGCCAGGGGAGGCAAGGCCAUCGUGGUCGUCUCGGCACUCUCAAGACUGUCGAGUUUCUGAACAGCAAAAGAGGUCUGGGAAAUGCUCAUAGCUUCGAUGACUACAUGUUAGCUGGUACCCUGGAUGAGAGUCUUAAUAAAAAGGAUGUUAGGGGGCAAAAUGGGGGAAAUUUAAUUAAUAAG